rnacentral:rRNA from 1 species
CCUUACCUACCCUUGACAUGUCUGGAAUCCCGAAGAGAUUUGGGAGUGCUCGCAAGAGAACCGGAACACAGGUGCUGCAUGGCUGUCGUCAGCUCGUGUCGUGAGAUGUUGGGUUAAGUCCCGCAACGAGCGCAACCCUUGUCAUUAGUUGCUACGAAAGGGCACUCUAAUGAGACUGCCGGUGACAAACCGGAGGAAGGUGGGGAUGACGUCAAGUCCUCAUGGCCCUUAUGGGUAGGGCUUCACACGUCAUACAAUGGUCGGGACAGAGGGUUGCCAAGCCGCGAGGUGGAGCCAAUCCCAGAAACCCGAUCGUAGUCCGGAUUGCAGUCUGCAACUCGACUGCAUGAAGUCGGAAUCGCUAGUAAUCGCGGAUCAGAAUGUCGCGGUGAAUACGUUCCCGGGUCUUGUACACACCGCCCGUCACACCAUGGGAGUGGGUUUUACCAGAAGUAGGUAGCCUAACCGUAAGGAGGGCGCUUACCACGGUAGGAUUCAUGACUGGGGUGAAGUCGUAACAAGGUAAGCGUAGUGCU